GCGUACGACCCGCCGCCUCCUCAGCCGCCGCUCCCUCCGAGCCCCGGGGCCGUUCCUCAGGCUGCCCUUGUUCGCCACGUUGGCUAGGGAUCACACCCGCGCGGGCCCGUACCUGGCACCUGCUGCGUCAGCCGCGGUUGUAUUUUCUGUAGAAUAGCUUUGUUUUGUGGACUGAAUCAGGUCCUGUGCCCGCUCUUGCCCCCAGACUCGUGGAUUUCCCCCGCCGUUGACCUUGAGGGGUGGUGCGAUUCCUUACAGGAAGAACAUCUCUUGAGAUUUAGGUGCUUUUCAUUCAUCUCAAAAGCAAAAUUCUGAACUCAGGAUUUGGCAAGUAUUUCUGUGUUGAACUACUCGAGUGGGUAGUACUGCUUCUUUUAUCCAACCACUUUCCCUCUUCCUGAGAUGUGGGUAUCUUCUGCACGUGUCACCUCCACGAUCGGGGAUGGAAAAGACUGCUUUUGUUCCACCUUGCAAAUUGAACAGAAAACCCCUCGGUGUGCUGCUAUCCUGAUGGCUUCCCCAGUAAGAGAGAAGCAACUGACUCAAGUCUUCUCCUGCAGUCUGCCUAAUUUGGGGGAAAUGGUUUAACAUGCUAAAGGAUAUUUAAUUUGAAACAGGUGGCUUAGAUGGUGGUGGUUAUGAAUUCUUUAAGUUUUGUUCCAAACAAGAAAACGAGCAAGUACAGAUGAUUUCUGGGCUUUUGCAAUUGUCUUCCAGUUUUAGCCACUAGUGUGCUAAGCAUAUUUGAGACUGCAGCGGUAUAUUCCAAAAUCACCAUUCUAGUUUAAAAUUAAGUGAAGUUAAAAAAUGAUUUGUUUGUAUAUUUGAAUCGUGGCUCAUCCUGUGACAUUAAUCCCCUGUGAAAGUUCAAAGGUCAGGUUUUCCUGGUAAAGCAGCAUGAAGAUGGUACAUUGAGGUUCAUGUCAUGAGUGAAGAAACCAUCAGAGCUUUGCUUAAAAUACACAUUUUCACAUGCGUUAACUACAUUUUUGUGUAAGAAGAGGGAUUUUUCUCCUAGAGACGAAAUUGUUGAUUUCUUUCUUGGAAGUCUUUGGACAUUUGGUUUUUAAAAAAAAUGUAUUUUCAUUUCUCUAAGGAAGAACCAUGUUGUGCAAUGAAGGAAUGAUUGGACUUAGUUGAAAAGAUGUUGAAAGAAAGCAAAAGGUUUGUGUGAUGACACCCUAUUCACCUCGCUAGAUGGGAGGCUGCUGUGUUACAAAUUCAUCCCUUUUUUCCUGGACUAACAGCACAUGGAAACUUUGUGUUACUACAGCUAGAAGAAAUUGACAUAAGUGAUUUCUCAGUUCAGAAGAUGUGAUGGACUCUGGCAUAACCUGCCUUCAGCUUUGGACAUAGAG